UACGGGGGGGGCAAGCGUUAAUCGGAAUUACUGGGCGUAAAGUGUGCGCAGGCGGCCGAGCAAGUCGAGUGUGAAAGCCCCGAGCUUAACUUGGGAACUGCGCUCGAAACUACUUGGCUAGAGUGUGGCAGAGGGAGGUGGAAUUCCACGUGUAGCGGUGAAAUGCGUAGAGAUGUGGAGGAACACCGAUGGCGAAGGCAGCCUCCUGGGCCAACACUGACGCUCAUGCACGAAAGCGUGGGGAGCAAACAGG
rnacentral:rRNA from 1 species